rnacentral:misc_RNA from 1 species
GUCGGAAGAAGGUGCAAAUAAAGUAAAGAAGGACGGUGGUUUGAGCGAGGAAGGAAGGAAUAAGGGAGAGAAAGACAAGGGAAAGCCGGUAGAUAAUUCGGUUUCAAAGGAAGCGUCUAAGAGUAGUGGGAAGGGCGAAAGCGAAAGUACAGUAUCUUCAGCAUCGAAAAGAAAGGAUGGGUCUUCGGGUGAGGAUUGUGAUUCAUCAAAUAAAUGCACUGACGAGGGAAAUAAGUUAGUAGCUUGCUUGCGAGUUCCAGGAAAUGACUCUCCUCAACUUUCGUUGCUAAUCCAGAAUAAGGGAACUGGU